UACGUAGGGUGCAAGCGUUGUCCGGAAUUAUUGGGCGUAAAGAGCUCGUAGGCGGUUUGUCGCGUCUGCUGUGAAAACCCGAGGCUCAACCUCGGGCCUGCAGUGGGUACGGGCAGACUAGAGUGCGGUAGGGGAGAUUGGAAUUCCUGGUGUAGCGGUGGAAUGCGCAGAUAUCAGGGGGAACACCGAUGGCGAAGGCAGAUCUCUGGGCCGUAACUGACGCUGAGGAGCGAAAGCAUGGGGAGCGAACAGG
rnacentral:rRNA from 1 species